rnacentral:lncRNA from 1 species
GGAGGAGGAGACACUCUCUGCCCUUAAGCCUCAGUUUGGGGGAGACAGGGUCCCUGCCCCUAGGAGUCACUGGCCUAAUGAGGAAGGCCAGCGGUCAGGUCCAGCCGUGCCGUUCGUCUAUGCACUGGAGAGAGCUGCCCGGCUCUGGGUACCGCUGAGGCUCUGCAGUGCUGGAGUGGGGAGCCCAGCACCCCUGCAGGACCCCUGGAGAGGCGAAGACGCCAACAGGGUUCCCUCAAGCUCGCCUCUUCAGGCCCCAGGGCCCAAGCAGUGACAGGGUGAGUGGAAAGAGCUGUGUGGUGGCCGUCCAGGGGGCUGAGUGGGUGCACAGCAGGGGCACCUGGACCAGGCCGGCCAGUCAGGAAGGGUCUGCAAUGAGGUGCAGGGUGCUGACAGGCAGGUGGGUCUGGGGCAGACUGUGUCUGAGGAGACUCGGGGUCUCCUCCCUCAGGCCCUCCUCCAACUCCUCACCCACAGGCUUCUGGGUCUCCCCCAUAGCUGUGCCAUCACUGGACAGCAGCCCCACCCCGCCCCAAGGGAGCCACUUUACCAGGUUCUGCAGACAUUGCUGACAUUUCCACAUGCUGCCAUCCUCUGGCUGUGGCCCACCUGGCCAGUCAGUGGGGACCCAGGUGGUCCCAGGAGCCUGUCAGGGUGAUGAAAACUGAAAAGGUCAGGGUGGCAACCAAGCCCCACAGCACGGUGGGGGGGUGCCCUGGCAGCCUCUCCCCUCCCCCUGCAGCUCCCCACAAUAUUCUGGCAGCCCUGGGGGAGGGUGGAGCUUGAGGGGUGGCCCUGGCUGUGCAUGUCUUGGACCAGGAUGAAGGAAAGGGAAGCAGCCGUCCCAGCAACCACCUGCCUACACACAUGCACGCAUGACCCCCUGGGCUGGGGCAGGACAGCAGGGGACAGCGGAGGGGAAGCCACAACCACUCUGUGCCACCGAGGGACACUGAGGAUCCAGUUCACUAUACCACACGUUCCCCUCAGUGGCCACCAGAUCCAGCAUGAUGCAGCCAGGAGAAAGAGAGAGACCUCCUCGGCCAGCCACCCCCGGGAACGGGAAGCGGUGCGGAUUCACUUCCUGCUCUGUGCCCAACACAGGCACCAGCACCUGCGGCCACCGCCCUUGCUCACCACAGCCCUGAAGCAGAGAUGAUCCUGACCAUUCUGCAGAUGAGAAAAUAGCUCAGAAGAAUCAUGUGACUCGCCCACAGUCGCACUGCCAGGAAGAGAUGGAGCUUAAAAUCAGGUCAGCGCUGGGGCAGCGGGGAUUUUAGCCAGAUGCCCAGGAAAUCCCCCAAACAGGUGGAGGAGAGAGCUUGAUCCUAGCCCUUCCCAGGAGGCUGUUGGGCAAAAGGACUGGGCAAGUGGGCUGAGGGCAGGGGACUGGACCUAUUGACCUCCAGAAUCCACCCAGCUGUGCUGUUUGGGAACUGGUGGGCAAGUUCCAUCAGCCUCCAGGAGGGUGGGCUGGGGAAGAGGUGGGGCAGCCUGGGAAUGCCCAGAGAUGCUCUGACCAUUGGGGUCCCCCAGGACACCAGGGGUGUGGUCAGGCAGCUCUGACUUUCUGGGGCCACCAACAGAGACCUGAGUGCCCAGGUCCCAGUAGAAAGGGGGCUGGAAGGGAGGCAAAAGUGAGGGGAGGCUCUCUCUUCCAGCAGCCAACUAGCCUGUGGGGAGCCGGGUCCUGUGGUUUUGACAGCAGCGACACGAGCUCGUCCAGAAUCUCUGUCUUGCGCGAGGUAAUUACAGUUCUUCCCGUGUAAUGAGAUGGUUUUUAAAGGCCAUUCAAAAGAAAUUUCCCAUAAUGAGGUGAGGGGGUUUACGGUGUUAGACAUCAAGGCGGUUGGUAAUUGGUGGGACCCAGGCUGAGUCCUGGAGGGAAGCGAUGGGAAUUUGCGCAUCUAUAAGGAGCGAGAGAAGAGCAGGCGACGGCCGAGGAGGGAGGACGGCAACUUGGCCUGAAAAGUUUCUGCCGACAUCAGCAGUCCAGUGGGCCCUGAAGAGUGGCCAAGGGCACGGGGAGGCUGGGUCCCUGCUGGACAGAGGAGGCUGCUGGAACUGAGUGGGGCAGGGGCAGAGGGAAGACCGACGGGAUGGAAGUCUGUAAACAAAGGUGCUGGGGUGAAGAGUUUUCCCAAUCUGUGCUGACAUAACUAGACACUGGGACGGGGACUGGUGUCCUUAGAAGAGGUAAAUUUGCUCAGAGACACACACGGGUGAGAGAAGCCACGUGAAGAUGGAUGCAGAGGCUGGAGUGAUAGCCACAGAUUGCCACCACCAGAGGCUGGAAGAGGAGAGGAAAGAACCUCCCCUAGAGCCUUCAGAGAGAGUGUGGCCAGGCCGCCAUCUUGAAUCUAGACUUCUAGCCUCCAAAAGUGUGAGGAGUGAAUUCUGUUGUUUUAAACUCCCGGGUUUGUGGUCAUUUAUUCAACUGUGAUUUAAUGUCUUAGAAGGCAGAGAAAAAUCCAGUCUCCCUGGACCCAGCUGCUGCAGACUACAAUAACAUCGCUACUAAAGGGCCUUCCCGAUGUCUCCUGAAUCUUUGAAGUGGCACUGCAGGCCCACUGCCCUGACGGGUGUGCCCUGGUAGAGUCACCAGGAGCCUCUCAGACAGCACUUGACUGAGAGAUGCUGCACUGGUCAACCAGACCCUAUGGAGCACUUUCUGUGUGUGCCAGGAGGGCGGGGAGAAAGCCUGGGGGAGGGCAGGAGCUCACAUCUCCUAAGAGACGAGUCCCCGAAGAGCACAGCACUCAGGGAGACAUCCUUGGGAAUCCCCAGACCAAGACUGACCUCUGGCUGAGCAUUCCAGUCCCCCUUAGGAGGACAGAGGGAGAUGGCAAUGCCCAAGAGAGUUGGCCUAAGAUGGGCACCCAGGGGCUGGAGCGGUCAGCCCCAAGGUCAGGAAGGAGGAGAAGGCAGCCCAGAAACAGCAGCUCCUCUUGCCCCUUCUGGGUCAGGCCGAUCACCACACAGGGUCUCCUGCCCGAGGAGCUGGAGACCCGCGCAGAGGCACUAAGCAAGAGCGCGAGGCAGGCUGCCAGCCGGGGCAGCCUGGCUCUAAAUGCUGGUUAAUUGGCGCUGAGUGGCCGAGGGAUGUGAGGAGAUGACUUUGAAGUCACCUGGUGUGAUGUGUCCAGCAGGAACAAUGGGCCACCCAGCUAGCAGAGAGUCACGCUUCCUUCUAAUUAGGUGCCGCUUUGAACACGGAGGCAUCAGAUUAAUGAGGCUUACAGCGCUCACCCGCGCAGCGUGGCGGGCUGCCUCUGUUCUGUGAUCGCAGUCUGUUGCCAAAACCUUGUUCUCUAAAUCAAAGUUUCUCCUGAAACUCUGCUUUGGGUUUGCACUGGCGCCAGCCAGAGAGCUAAGCCUCACCUCCCUUCCUUUACUUUACAUACAUUCCAGCUUUUUUUUUUUUUCUCCCUCUCUGGAAAAGACUUGCAGGGUGGGGACACCUCCUGCAGACCAGCUGGGGGCAGGAAGGGCUGGGUGGCCCCCACUUUGUGGAGCACGCUGGCUCAGGGCACAGGCGAGCUGGCCCACCACACCCAGGCCCGCAGGCCCCUCCAGCUCCGCUCUUGGCAGCUUGGGGGCGGGCCAGGCCUUAGAGGAUCC